AUGAACGCUGACAGAAUGCUUAACACAUGCAAGUCGAUGGGGAAGUGGUGCUUGCACCAUGGUAACCAUGGCGGACGGGUGGGUAACGCGUAAGGAACUUACCUGCGGGACCGGGAUAACAGCAGGAAACUGCUGACAAGACCGGAUAAGGUCAUUAAGCUGCAUAGCUUAGUGAUGAAAGGAGACGCCUGCGGAGAGCCUUGCGUCCUAUUAGCUAGUUGGAGGGGUAACGGCCCACCAAGGCGAAGAUAGGUAGCCGGCCUGAGAGGGUGGACGGCCACAAGGGGACUGAGAUACGGCCCUUACUCCUACGGGAGGCAGCAGUGGGGAAUAUUGGACAAUGGGGGCAACCCUGAUCCAGCAAUUCUGUGUGCACGAAGACGGUUUUCGGAUUGUAAAGUGCUUUCAGCAGGGAAGAAGGAAGUGACGGUACCUGCAGAAGAAGCGACGGCUAAAUACGUG
rnacentral:rRNA from 1 species